rnacentral:rRNA from 1 species
CCCCUAGACGUUCUGGGCUGCACGCGCGCUACAAUAAUACGCACAGCGAGUAUCACCGAGCUCGAAAGGGCAAGGUAAACAAUAGAAAAGGUACUGUAAUUGUUAUAGAUCCUUGUAAUUAUUGAUCUUCAACGAGGAAUUCCUAGUAAGUAUGUGUCAUCAUCACGCACUGAUUACGUCCCUGCCCUUUGUACACACCGCCCGUCGCUCCUACCGAUUGGGUGAGCCGAUGAAACUCUCGGAUGUAGGCUAUUCAUAGCCCGCAGAAGAGAUUUGAAUCGUAGCGCUUAGAGGAAGGAGAAGUCGUAACA